rnacentral:rRNA from 1 species
UGGUGGGACCGCCGCUGCUAAAGCGGAGGAAGGAAUGGGCAACGGUAGGUCAGUAUGCCCCGAACAUCCCGGGCUACACGCGAGCUACAAUGGUUGGUACAAUGGGUAUCUACCCCGAAAGGGGAUGGAAAUCUCCUAAAGCCAAUCUUAGUCCGGAUUGAGGGCUGCAACUCGCCCUCAUGAAGCUGGAAUCCGUAGUAAUCGCGUUUCAACAGAACGCGGUGAAUACGUCCCUGCUCCUU